rnacentral:sRNA from 1 species
CUAAGUGAAAAACCUAGUUUAAAUAUCACUGGUCAAGAUUUAGAAAUGAAAUGAACCAUUACUUAUAAAUAUAUACAAAACAAAUGACAGUACAAGUCUAAAUGAGUGUUAAGCACACAGGUUCCAAUCACAGAGAAGCAAUACAUAAUGAAUAACAUAAAUAGCACCUUUAGUCAAUGAAGGCAGUGUUGAUAUAGAAUGUACACAGUGGACUAGGAAGAAGGAAGGAAGCCAAACUUGUGAACCUCAAAGCCACAAAUUAACUGAUGUGCACUCUGUGGGAUGAGGACCUUUACUGGCAUUACCAGUUGUUCCAGUGCACCUCUAGCCUCUGGUAUCCUAGUCUUAG